rnacentral:other from 1 species
GGUUCCCUGCUUUGCGCGUGAUGGCGGUAGGCUCGUUUGAGCCAACGUUUCAUCAAAGUGAGUCGCGACGCCGCGUGGUGUGCAUGCCUCUGUAACGAGGAAGCCUGAAGCGCGGCUUUUCGAGCGGUUCCACCUGCUUACGCAGGUUCAUCGACCUCCCCACACGGCAAAGCGGGGCGUUU